GGGGAAUUUUCCGCAAUGGGCGAAAGCCUGACGGAGCAAUACCGCGUGAGGGAGGAAGGCUCUUGGGUCGUAAACCUCUUUUCUCAGGGAAGAAAAAAAUGACGGUACCUGAGGAAUAAGCAUCGGCUAACUCCGUGCCAGCAGCCGCGGUAAUACGGAGGAUGCAAGCGUUAUCCGGAAUGAUUGGGCGUAAAGCGUCCGCAGGUGGCGAUGUAAGUCUGCUGUUAAAGAGUGAGGCUCAACCUCAUAAAAGCAGUGGAAACUACAUGGCUAGAGUGCGUUCGGGGCAGAGGGAAUUCCUGGUGUAGCGGUGAAAUGCGUAGAGAUCAGGAAGAACACCGGUGGCGAAAGCGCUCUGCUAGGCCGCAACUGACACUGAGGGACGAAAGCUAGGGGAGCGAAUGGGAUUAGAUACCCCAGUAGUCCUAGCCGUAAACGAUGGAUACUAGGCGUGGCUUGUAUCGACCCGAGCCGUGCCGUAGCUAACGCGUUAAGUAUCCCGCCUGGGGAGUACGCACGCAAGUGUGAAACUCAAAGGAAUUGACGGGGGCCCGCACAAGCGGUGGAGUAUGUGGUUUAAUUCGAUGCAACGCGAAGAACCUUACCAAGACUUGACAUGUCGCGAAUCCUCUUGAAAGGGAGGAGUGCCUUCGGGAGCGCGAACACAGGUGGUGCAUGGCUGUCGUCAGCUCGUGUCGUGAGAUGUUGGGUUAAGUCCCGCAACGAGCGCAACCCUCGUUUUUAGUUGCCAGCAUUAAGUUGGGCACUCUAGAGAGACUGCCGGUGACAAACCGGAGGAAGGUGGGGAUGACGUCAAGUCAGCAUGCCCCUUACGUCUUGGGCUACACACGUACUACAAUGCUACGGACAAAGGGCAGCUACACAGCGAUGUGRUGCAAAUCCAAGAAACCGUAGCUCAGUUCAGAUCGCAGGCUGCAACUCGCCUGCGUGAAGGAGGAAUCGCUAGUAAUUGCAGGUCAGCAUACUGCAGUGAAUUCGUUCCCGGGCCUUGUACACACCGCCCGUCACACCAUGGAAGCUGGUCACGCCCGAAGUCAUUACCCCAACCUUUCGAGGAGGGGGAUGCCUAAGGCAGGACUGGUGACUGGGGUGAAGUCGUAACAAGGUAGCCGUACCGGAAGGUGUGGCUGGAUCACCUCCUU
rnacentral:rRNA from 2 species